CGAAACACGAGGAAGGCAAGGACCUUGUCAGCGUUCUGCAGGGGUAGCUUCCGAAGUUCCUGGCAUUGGAGUCAGUCGGGCCUGGUACUAGCUAACUAGUUUUCCAGAACUAGCCAGCGAUGAAAGGAGGGUGGCACGAGAAGCGAGACAAGAAGAAGCAGCCAAAUGGGCAAAGGAAGAGUGGAAAUACUAAUGACACCAGCGGCUAAAGAGGCUGCCAAGGGAACCAGGAAUCCGGAGACUCUCAAGGUAAUUCAAAGCUUCCUGGAUUGAACCUGCAGAAAAAGUCUUCCAACACAAUUGCUGAAGAGUAAGAAUCCUGACUGAUUUUCCC